rnacentral:lncRNA from 1 species
CUGUAAUUGAUAACUGCCAGCGUCCCCUUACCAAUCCCUUGGGAUGCUCUGCUUCCAGUUCCCAACCGGCAGCUGCCCCUGCCCACGCCUCCAGCCAGGGCACACCUGAGACCUUCCCUUUCUCCCCUGCAGAGCUUUCCUGCUCCUCUGCCCGCCCGUGAGUCUCUGCCCAGGACAAGCGUUGGCGCCGAGUCCCUCACCACGCAGCAAGCUCUGAAUAGAUGGUCUUUGCCUGUUCUCAUUUGGGUGGUCUUCCCUUAUUUCCACAUCUGGCCCCUCCUAGGACCUCAUCAAAGCCACCUCACUGGGGACUUGGGAAGGGGGAAAGCAGACUUGGACCUUGAGAUGUCUGUAUUUCUCAGUGUUGGGGGCCUGAUGCUUCAUCAAAGGUGAUGCCGGCAACAUCUGGCAAUUUAUCUGACACCUUCCCAGUGCAGCAGAGGAGCAUGAUUGAGUAGGAGGAGGGCCGUCUGCUGUGACAGAGUGAGAAACAGCUGUUUAAAGGUGUGUAUGUGUGUGUUCAUAUGUUUAGCUCCUUUACAGGAACAGCUAUCAUAAUGGCCAGCAGUAUAACCUUAGAGUUUGGAGCUGUGCAAGUGGCCCACACAGUGUGUUCUCUUCCCCAAAGAAUACGUACAGAGUAGGUACACCUCUGUCUGGAGCUGGUUCUGAAUCCUGGCUUUAUCACUCUCUGGCUGUGUGAUCUUGGACAAGUGCCUCCCCCCUCUCCCUAACCCCAAAGUCUCAAAGCCCUCCUGUGUUCAGCUCAUGGGCUUUUCCAUGGUGCAGUCCUGGUCUAAGUGUUGUCUACACACCACCUGCCUCUGAAACCCCUGGGGUAUUUGUUAAGCAUACAGAUUUCUGGGCCCCACCAAAGACCUAAUGAAUCAGAAUCUCUGGCCAUGGUCUGGGCAUCUACAAGACUAGCCAGCUCUGUGAGUAACUUUCCUGCUCACUGAAGUGUGGGAACGUCAAGGUGACUGCAUCUUAGGUACUUGCAUGGUCACAGUGAGGAUCAAACCUGAUGACCCUCCUGACGGAGGGCUCGUAGGCAGAUCUAUCCAAGGCAAAGCACAUGGCAGUAAACGCAGAAAUGGAGGAACGAAGAGCUGUGGGGAAAGGGAUGAAUUCCAACCUGGGGAAUCUUAGAAGGCUGCCUGAAGGAAGUGGCUUCCAGUGUAGGCCUUAGGGAUGAAGUAGACUUUCAUCCUGCAGAUGUGGAGUCCUCUCUGGGGAGCUGGUGGUGGGAAAGAGGAGAACCUUCUCCCUCCACAGGAGAGAGGCAUCAACUCAGCAGUGCCAGGAGGUCACUUAUUACAGCAGCAGAGGCCUAUUCGAAAGCCUGAUUAGAUGCCACCUGCCGUUGGGGUAGACCAUACUGUCCCUGUUUCAUGCAUAGGGGACUGCAGGGCCAGGGAAGACCAGAGACAUGCCCAAGAAUGUGCAGCUAGGAAGGAGCUCACUGGAGGUCUGACCAUGGAGUUACAGAAUCUGCGGAAAGAGGGGGUUUCUGUGGAGCAUUUGAGGAAAAGGAGCUCCUGUGGGCUGGCUUUUUGGAGAGGGUUGUGUGCUGAUUUGUUGCUAUAGGAAACCUGGCCCCAAGGCGGGAGCAGGCUGGUUUAUGGUUAACUGAUCCCCAGCUCUGAGCAGAGCAGGAGACCUGGGUUGUAGCGUUUGAUGAUGGCUGUAGUGUAAUCACUCCCACCACAGUGCAUUUCAAGCUAUUGACAUGAAGUGACUGAUUAAAGUUGGGAAGAGAUGUGCCCAGUGGGCUCUGGAGUGGGCAGUAGUGGCUCCUGCCCCCUGUGGUUGAGGGUGUGAAUGAAGGAGAAUCACGGAUGAAGUGAUGCUGUGGGCUGACUGUGGCCUCUGGCUGGUUCAGAAUGCCGCUCGGUUUCCUUGAUGGACUGUGCCAUCCUUAUGGCUUCUCAGCGUGACUUUGUUGAAGCAUUUGCAGCUGAGGAACCCUGGGUGUGAGGGAGGCAGGGAGCUGAGCACUGCUCUUUGCUCUCAGAAGGGAAUCCAUCCAAGCCCUCUUACAAAAUUGGCUUUUGAAAAACAACUGGUCUCAACCUGGUGGAUGGGGCUCUGUGGGCAUGUGGAGGAGCCAGAGAAUGAGAGCAUAGCUGGGAGUCGAGGUGCUAGGAAAUCGCUGAGAAAUGAAGGGGACCUCCCACCCAAGCGGGGCUUCAAGGCAGGGAGGCAAAUUAGAGGGAAGGAGAGAAAUUUACUUUCAACAAACCUAUGCAGAACCAUGGCAACCAGAUAAUUAAGAAGUUAGUAUAAUUUCAGCUUGCAUAUAAAUUUUGUGCUUUAUGAUUUUUAUUUGGAGUUAUAUAUAGGGAAGAGGCAUAGCAGACGACAGAUGUCUUUUCUUCCCAGGGCACAAAAGAGAUGUACCCAGUCCAGCCACUGCCUCCUGACCCACACCUGCCUCAUCCAACUACCUGAACCCCACAUUUGCAGUGGGAGAUGGAAGAGGUGCUCUUACUCCCCCUUGGAGAGGAAGCCAAGCUGACCCUCUCUGAGGACAUCCUCAGUGACAAAGGGGGCCAAGUUGAGGCAGAAUUCACCUCAUGUGGGCCAUACCUAACAUGUAUGCAGAAAGCACCGCACCAACAGAUGCCACCAGCACUCAGCAGAGCCAGAAGGAGCCAGAGAGACCCGAGACCUCGCCAUGUAGUGGGACACCUUCCCUGGUCCUUGAAUCUCUUAGGUCACCAAGACCCAAGGAUCCAGGAAAAGGCAUUUGGUACUGUAAUCAUCCUCUGGUGGUAUCUUAGGACCCUCAGGGAUGGCAUGAUGCCUGGCACAUGGCAUGCACUCAGGCAUGUGUAUAAGAAGGUGGGUACUUCUUGUGACACACUCGUAGAGGACGGAUGGAACCCAAGAAGCAGGAAGAGAGGCUAGGAGAAUGUGGCAGUAAGUACUAAAGAGCAAGGGGUAAUGAUGAGGAUGGGGGCACUUCCCCUCUAUGCUCUUCCUCCCAGAAACCCAUCCCCUUCCUAAGCAUGAGAAAAAGCAUCAGACAGACCCAAACGGAGGCACUGCACAAAAUACCUCACCAGCAGUCCUCCAACGUGUCAGGAACAUGAAAAACAAGGAAAGGGCGAGGAGCUGUCACAGAUCAGGGGCACCUAAGGAGAAGUGACAGCUGAAGGUAAUGUGCAUCCUAGAGGGGAUUCUGGGACAGAAAAAGGACUUGAGGGAAAAUCAAGGACAUCUGAAUGAAGUGUGAAGUUUAGUGCAUCAUUGUGGACCAAGGUAGGUUUCUUAGUUUUGGCAAAUGCACCACAGUAACGUGGGAUAUUAACCCAGGGGACCCUGGGUGAGGGGUAUAUGGGAAAUCUCGCUGCUGUCUUUAACCAGUUCUUAGAUGAUUAGAAAGGGGGUGAGGCAAGGAGGCACUGCUUCCAGGUGGGGCACGCAGGAACAGCUUGGUGUUGUCUGAGCAGUUGAAGGGUGUGCAGGGUUUGGGUGGGGUAAGCUUUACAGGGGGCAGAGCAGCAGAGACCAGGGAAACCCAGGGGGCUUGGUGGUCACCGGGUGUGGGUGCUGCCCGUCUUACAAGCAAAUGUGGACAAACAACACAGUGAUUUCAGCUAGUAUUCCUUGUUUUGACUUAAGGAUUCUCUAAAUCAGGAGGUGAUUAGGCAGCCCCAGGCUGAUGAGAGCACACACAGUUUUCUUCUGCAAGCAGAGUGGUCCGUGGUGACUGUGGUGACCAGGAACUCUGCCAUGGAAGGUCUCAGAAGGGCUCGGGUAGGGCAGGAGAGGUGCAGUGCCUCCCUCUUCCUGCUCUGAUGAAAAACAAGUAUGUUACGUGCACACCAAAACCUGCACCCAGUGUUUAUAGCAGCUUUAAUCAUAACUGCUAAAACUUAGAAGCAACCAAGAUGUCCUUCAGGAGGUGAAUGGAUAACUAAUAGAUGAAUAAACUUUGGUACAUCCAGACAAUGGAGUAUUAUUCAGCACUUACAAAGGAAUGAGCUACCAAGCUAUAAAAUAUGUGGAGGAAGCCUAAGUGCAUAUGCUAAGUGAAAGAAGCCCAUUUGAAAAGGCUACACACCAUAGGCAAUUUUACAUACCGCAGGGUUCCAACUAUUUCACAUUUUGGAAGAGCAAAACUAUGGAGAUAAUAAUAAGACCAGUGGUUUCCAGGAGUUGGUAGGGGUGUGGGGGCUGGUAGGAUGAAUGGGUGGAGCACAGAGGAAGUACUCUGUGUGAUGCCACAAUGGUGGAUACAUGUCAUGAGACCUUUGUCCAGACUCGAAUAAUGUACAUCACCAGGAGUGAGCCCUCAUGUAAACUGUGGACCUUUGGUGGCUGUGAUGAGUCAACACAGGUUCAUCGGUUGGAACAAAUGGACACUUUGGUGGGGGAGGUUGAUAAAGGGGGAGGCAGUGCAUGGGCAGGGAGUAGAUGGGAAAUUGCUGUAUCUUCCCCUCAAUUUAGCUAUGAUCCUAAAACUCCUCUUCAAAGAAUACCCUUUUUAAAAAAUGAAACAUAGCCACAAAAAAAAAGCAAGAUGAAACAAGUUUGUUAGGAGUGGAGUUGGGGUCCACACAAGCCACUCAGCUCCCUUUGCAGGUCCCCAGCCCUGGUCUGUCUGGGAGGCUUAGCCUGAACUAGUCCUUCCGAGGCCCAGGUGGGUAUGGUCAUAAGGGGCCCGGGAGCACAGCAGACAGAAUUUUGGAUUUUACAAGGAGUGAUUUGUGGAGGAGGAAUUAUUGGAGCUGGAGUUCUGUUGACUUCACCAUGUAGCCGAAGUCCCAUCCUGGCCUCUCCAUAUGUUCACAAGUCCUUCCUACAUGGGAUCAUUUUGUUAAAUACACUUCCACACAGGCACUGCUCCCAGUUCAUCAUGUUCCCGCCACUCGGCUUGUCACUGGGCCUGGACACUUGUCCCAGCCUGGACACUGAGGUCGGAGUUCAUGUGGUGUGACCAUCACAGGGGAAGGAGUCAUGGGGCUGACAUGCUGAUGGGCUCCCAGGCAGGCAGUUCUCCUUGCACAAAAUCGGAAAGAUAAGGUCACAAAGGCCCCUCCCUGCCUUAGAAACCCCAAUAUAACCUUACCAUGGCUGCUCUGGAAAAGGCAGAGGGACAGAGUCAGAAAUUCUCAUUCUGUUCAUUGCGUCUUGAUUCCCAAAGAAUUGACUUGGAGGUACCAAUGAGCUCCAUCCUCCAGGGAAGUCUGCCUUUAGAAAGAAACCAGGCAGCUGCUAAGGAGCUGAUGCUGCUUUGAAGGGCAGACAAUGGCUGUCCUCCAAAGCCCGGUCUGGACUGUUCCUAAUGCAUAUGGUAGCUGCUGGGAUGGGACCCUAAUUGGAAGAGAAUCCUGUGACCUCCAGACCAAUUAAAUCAUGUCUCAGGAGCUGGAACAGCUGUAUGAGGCUUUGGGGAACAGGUGAAUUCUUUCCUCCCAUCAGAAGUCACCUUAGCUAUCGUAGGAGGUAUUGACUGUUGGUGCUGUACUGGUUGAGAAAAUUGGUCUCAGGAGAAGCAAGAAAAGUGACUUGAGCAAACCUGCCUUUUUCAACAGAGGCUCUAAUAAGGCGGAGCUGAUUUGGGGGGGUUGGGAAUUAUUGCCUCCAACAAUUAGGAAAGUUGCUUGGCCAGAAAUAGGAGAAAGUAUGGGAGACAGGCUCCUUUGAGAGGACAGAGAGCUGGGAGGAUUAGGAUUUGAACCUCUACCCCCAAUCAGGCCACUGGCACUACAUUCCAAAGCAUCUCUCAAGACUCUUCUGUGGUGAUGGAACUAUUCCAUGUCUUGAUUGUGGUUGAUGGUUACACAAUCAUGUGCCUCUGUCAAAACUGUCAUAAAACCAUAAACUGCAAAGGCUCAAUUCUACUAUGUGUAAAUUAUCCCUAAAUUCAAAUAUACACUGAAUACACACACACAAGGACCCUUAGGCCAGCUCUCCUCACCCAGACCUGGGGAGAGCUCUGGUGCUUGGUUGAUAGUUCCAUGUCCUGUCUACAACUCCUGAGAGUCCUUGUGUAAUGUUUUUUAAGGGGGAGAAAUGCCAGCACAGGAGGUCUCUGAGACAGGGAUUUGCCACUGCCCCCCCACCCCCAGCAUCUCCUAGGAGCACUGACAGCCCCAAGCCAUACCCAACCAAUGAAGGCAGAAUCCCUGGGGCUGGGACCCAUCCUCAGGAUUUUUAAUCCUCGCCACCACCACCCCAUGAUAGCUCUGUGGGAAUGGACUGGGACCACUAAUGGCCCUGAAGUCAUGAGGAGUGGCUCAUGUCUCCCAUUCUUCACUGUUACAUUUUUGGAAACAGUGUCCAAAGCCUACAUCUGAGGCUCUGGGCUCUCCCACCCCGACGCCUUCCCCACAGGUGCUGGACACCCUGGGAUUUCCAUCUUGCUGCUCUGUCAGUAGGCUCCUUCCUCUCCCACUCAAGGAUCAAUUUGGAACUUCAGGGUUCCCACUGCUUCCUGCCACCCGCCACUCUUCCGUCUCUCCCUGGGAAUGUGCAUACGUGUCAUGUCCCAGAGAAAGAACAUGAACUCGGGCAGUUCCCAUUGCGGUAUAGCAGAAACAAAUCUGACUAGUAUCCAUGGGGAGGCAGGCUCGAUUCCUAGUCUUGUUUAGAGGGUGGAGGGAUCCUGUGUUGCUGUGGCUGUGCUUUAGGCCAGCCACUGCAGCUCCGAUUUGACCCCUAGCCUGGGAACCUCCAUAUGCCGCAGGUGAAGCCCUCAAAAAAAAAAAAAAAAA